UCCGUAGGCGGACUAAUAAGUCAGGGGUGAAAUACCACAGCUCAACUGUGGAACUGCCUUUGAUACUGUUAGUCUUGAAUUAUAUGGAAGUAGAUAGAAUGUGUAGUGUAGCGGUGAAAUGCAUAGAGAUUACACAGAAUACCGAUUGCGAAGGCAGACUACAACGUAUAUACUGACGCUAAUGGACGAAAGCGUGGGUAGCAAACAGGAUUAGAUACCCUGGUAGUCC
rnacentral:rRNA from 1 species